rnacentral:rRNA from 1 species
UUUAACUGAGCGUUCAGUUACUUGACGUAGACCCGAAACCGGGCGACCUACCCAUGAGCAGGAUGAAGCGAAAGUAAAAUUUCGUGGAGGUCCGAACCCACGAGCGUUGAAAAGCGCGGGGAUGACUUGUGGGUAGCGGGGAAAUUCCAAUCGAGCCCGGAGAUAGCUGGUUCUCCCCGAAAUAGCUUUAGGGCUAGCCUCAAGGUGAGAGAUACGGAGGUAGAGCACUGAAUGUCCUAGGGGGUAUUGCACCUACCGAAGACUAUCAAACUCCGAAUGCCGUCAUCUUAUACUUGGGAGUCAGACUGUGGGUGAUAAGAUUCAUAGUCGAAAGGGCAACAGCCCAGAUCGUCAGCUAAGGUCCCUAAAUGUAAGUUAAGUGGUAAAGGAUGUGGGAUUGCACAGACAACCAGGAUGUUGGCUUAGAAGCAGCCACUCAUUCAAAGAGUGCGUAAUAGCUCACUGGUCGAGUGAUCCUGCGCCGAAGAUUUCCGGGGCUAAAACUUACUACCGAAGCUACGGCAUCAGUAAUGAUGGGUAGGGGAGCUUCCCAUACGGGUUGAAGCAUGACCGUAAGGACAUGUGGACAGUAUGGGAGUGAGAAUGUUGGCAUGAGUAGCGAGAUGUGGGUGGGAAUCCCACAGGCCGUAAACCCAAGGUUUCCAGGGGAAGGUUCGUCCGCCCUGGGUUAGUCGGGACCUAAGCUGAGGCCGAAAGGCGUAGGUGAUGGACAACAGGUUGAUAUUCCUGUACUACCGAUAACCGUUUGAGAGAAGGGAUGACACAGUAGGAUAAGCUAAGCACACUGUUGGUUAUGUGUGCCCAAGCAUUGAGGCAGUCAAAGUAGGCAAAUCCGCUUUGAUAAUGCUGGGAUGUGAUGGGGAGCGAAAUUUAGUAGCGAAGUAGCUGAUUUCACACUGUCAAGAAAAGUCUCUAUCGAGGUUAAAGGUACCCGUACCGCAAACCGACACAGGUG